AUUGAACGCUGGCUGCAUGCCUUACACAUGCAAGUCGAACGGUAACGCGGGGCAACCUGGCGACGAGUGGCGAACGGGUGAGUAAAGCAUCGGAACGUGCACAAUAGUGGGGGAUAGCCCGGCGAAAGCCGGAUUAAUACCGCAUACGACCUGAGGGUGAAAGCGGGGGAUCGCAAGACCUCGCGCUGAUUGAGCGGCCGAUGGCAGAUUAGGUAGUUGGUGGGGUAAAGGCCUACCAAGCCGACGAUCUGUAGCUGGUCUGAGAGGACGACCACACAAACUGGGACUGGGACACGGCCAAGACGCCAACGGGAGGGAGAAGUGGGGAAUUUUGGACAAGGGGGGAAACCCUGAUCCAGCCAUGCGGCGGGCGGGAAGAAGGCCUUCGGGUUGUAAACCGCUUUUGUCGGGGAAGAAAUCCCUCAGGCUAAUACCUUGAGGGUAUGACGGUACCCGAAGAAUAAGCACCGGCUAACUACGUGCCAGCCGCCGCAGUAACAC
rnacentral:rRNA from 1 species